rnacentral:lncRNA from 1 species
GAGACUGAGGACCACCCCUCUAGUGGGCUGUCAGGCUUAGAACUUUACAAGCUUACUCCUUCCUAAGAGAGGGACCAUGGGCAACCUAAGCAGGGAAGAAAAAGACAUGCAAGCAAGUUCAGGAAACUUCGGGCCUCCGCUGCUGCUUGAACCCCAACACUCCUCCCCUGGGCUGGGAACGCUGGCAUGCUCCCCUGGCGCCCCGGGGCU